rnacentral:tRNA from 1 species
GUCAGGUUGGCCGAGCGGUCUAAGGCGCCAGAUUUAAGCUCUGGUUCACAGUGUGAGCGUGGGUUCGAACCCCACACCUGACA